GAUGAACGCUAGCUACAGGCUUAACACAUGCAAGUCGAGGGGAAACGACAUCGAAAGCUUGCUUUUGAUGGGCGUCGACCGGCGCACGGGGUGAGUAACGCGUAUCCAACCUGCCCACCACUUGGGGGAUAACCUUGCGAAAGUAGACUAAUACCCAAUGAUAUCUCUAGAAGACAUCUGAAAGAGAUUAAAGAUUUAUCGGUGAUGGAUGGGGAUGCGUCUGAUUAGCUUGUUGGCGGGGUAACGGCCCACCAAGGGCAACGAUCAGUAGGGGUUCUGAGAGGAAGGUCCCCCANAUUGGAACUGAGACA
rnacentral:rRNA from 1 species